GCCCCCCCCCCCCCCACCAUCUUCCCUAUUCCCAAAGUUCCGGUGGUAAGAGGCUUCCCGGAGCCAAUUCGGAUUUCUUUUCACUGGAGUUUGAAGAGCGGAUUGUGUUACUGAGAUCAGUGGGAAGAUGAAGUUAAAAUCACUCCAGAAUUCUUGGCAGCGAUUGCAGUGAGGAGAACCUGGCCGAGGAGACGCAAUCGUGCUAACAUCCGAGCCCCAGCACAUCACCGUUCGGUUCCACUGAGCCUCGCUUCUGACUUUGGUGUCCCGUUCCGGCAGGGAGUACAUGUCCCUUUGGGUCAAGGCCAAAGUCUUGGGACCUAACUUUAGACUCUGACACCUGUGAUUACAGCGGGGAACCUCCCAUCUCAACAUGCUUCACUUUCAUCACACCUGCAAAGGUCCAGGGCCUGGACCUCUUUGAGGGGACGUUUUCCUGCCUUCCACGUCACCGCCAUUUUACAAUCAGGAAAACAGACUGAGAGGCUAACUGACUUGACCAAGGUCAGGUAAUAAAUGACCAAGCCAGGUCUCAAACCCAG